ensembl:lncRNA
GUCAGCUUCUGCAGAUAUGGUUUGAAAUCCAAACAGUAAGCUCAGGCAACAAGCACGCAGAGGGGAUACAUCAAAACAGAUGUAAUCUUUGUAGCAUGGGCCGUUCGUUGGCAACUGAAAGUUACUGCUGAUGCCCAUUGUGUUUCGGACCUGGGGUCAGAGGUGCUCCUGCUUUUCCCUCUGCCAGAUAAAAGCAUCAGUGGUGUCACAGUGCUCUUCGCAGAAACGCUCCCUCAGAGAAGGAUGGAAAUGUUGAGCUGUGUCUUUGUUCUGGAGCCCCAGUCUUUACCAAAAGCUUUGUGCUUGGCCACAGACAUGAAUAAAGGGAGCAAAGCACAGGUUUCUAAUUGUUGUGACAUCCAUAUUUCUUACAAUCAGAGGGAAAAAGAAGAGAAACACAACUGACUUAAGAG